AUAUAUAUAUAUAUAUAUAUAUAUGUUGCUGUUGUUUUUUUUUUUUUAAGAACAAGGAAAUCUAAGGGUUAGACACUUGAACCUUUAAUAAAAAUAUCUUGCCAUUCCACUGUGUUAAAUGAUUGUGUCUUGCCUUAUCUCUCUUGCUAUAUCAAUCAUGGGAUAACUUUCUUGAGGCAAACAAGCUCCUGUAGAAACUCAGGACAAACUAAAGGUUGGUCGCGCUGGUAAAUUACAAGGAAAUCUAAAGAAAAAUAAAUUUGAACUUGGUACAAAAUUCAUGCCAUCCUCUUACCUCUUCUGGUAUCUCCAUUAAGUUCAGCACUCUACCUCAGUGGUAAACACUACAGCAAAGCUAAAGUAUCCCUGCCUUGAGACACAGAAGCUCCUGUACAAGUUCAGGUCUGUACUUCGUUUGUAAACUCUAAGGCAAAACCAGCUGAAAAACUAAAUGUUAGUCACUCUGGUAAAUUACAAAGAAAUCGAAAGGCGACGAACUUGAACUUUGUACAAAAGUCAUGCCACUCCACUGUGCUAAAAACCUGUGUCUUUUCUUACCUCUUCUGCUCUCUCCAUUAUGGGGAACCUGACUGGAGGUAAACACGCUCCUGUACAAGUUCAGGACUCGGUGAUGAAGACUACAGCAAAAAUAAAGACACAGAAGCUCCUGUACAAGUUCAGGACAAGACCAUUUCUGUAAACACUAGGGCAAAACUAAAGGUUAGUCACUUUGGUAAAUUAGAAGAAAAAUCUAAAGGCAAUGCACUACAACUGUAUGUUAUUCUGCUCCAAUAUAUUAAAAACUUGUGUCUUUUUAUUCCUCCCUUGCCACCUCAAUCAUGGUGUACCUGUCGAGGGAAAUAAGCUCCUAUACAAGUUCAGGUGACCAGUCAGGACUUGACCUCUGAGGUAAACACUAUAGUGAAAGCAGUGAAAAAACUAAAGUCUAGACACAAUGACAAACUUAUUGUCCAAAUCUAAAAUCUAGGAACCUGAACUUUUAGAACAGUCUUGGUGCUCUACUAUGACUCACACUUAUUUGUCUUUUUUCUUUUUUUCUUUUUACCUCUUCUGCUCUCUCCAUUAUGGGGAACCUGACUGGAGGUAAACACGCUCCUGUAGAAGUUCAGGACUCGGUGAUGAAGACUACACCAAAAAUAAAAGUUAGUCAUUCUGUUAAUGUAAAUCCAAAGGAUAGUCAUUUAAACUUUUUUUUUUUUUAUGUAAUGUUGUUCCCCUACGCUAAACAGUUUGUUCUUGUUCUCCCUCUUGCUACCUUAAUCAUGGUGAACAUGACUUGAGACACAGACGCUCCUGUAGAAGUUCAGGUCUCUACCUCGGUGGUAAAGACUACCGCAAAACCAGCAGCACAACUAAAGUUUAGUCUCGCUGUUCAAGAACAAGGAAAUCUAAAGGCUAGUCACCUGAACCUUUAAUAAAAAUGUCAUGUCUUGUCUUACCUCUCUUGCUACCUCAAUCACGGUGUCCCUGUCUUGAGGCACAGAAGCUCCUGUACAAGUUCAGGUCUCUAGGUUGGUGGUAACCACUACAACAAAACUAAAUGUUAGUCGCUCUGGUAAAAUUACAAAGAAAUUGAAAGGCAAUGAACUUGAACUUUGUACAAAAGUCAUGCCACUCCACUGUGCUAAAAACCUGUGUCUUUUCUGCUCUCUCCAUUAUGGGGAACCUGACUGGAGGUAAACACGCUCCUGUACAAGUUCAGGACUCUGUGAUGUAGACUACGGCAAAAAUAAAGUGUCCCUGUCUUGAGGUAAACACACUCCUGUACAAGUUCAGGACUAGACCUUUUCUCUAAACACUAGGGCAAAACUAAGGGUAGUCACUUUGGUAAAUUGAAAGAAAAAUCUAAAGGCAAUGCACUUGAAUUUUUCAUGCCACUCCACUAUGCUAAAAACUUUUCUUAUCUCUUUUGCUAUCUCCAUUAUGGGGAACCUGACUGGAGGAACAGAAGCUCCUGUACAAGUUCAGAACUUGGUGAUGAAGACUACGGCAAAACCACCGGCAAAAAUGAAGAUUAGUCACUCUGUUCAAGGAAAUGUAAAGGAUAGUCACUUGAACCUUUAAUAAAAGUGUCAUGUUGUUCCACUCGGCUAAAUAGUUUUGUCUUUUCUUAUUUCUCUUGCUACCUCUAUUACGGUAUCCCUGUCUUGAGUAAGGAUAAACAUUACACU
ensembl:lncRNA